rnacentral:tRNA from 1 species
AAUAAUAUGCCUGAUUAUAGGAUUACUUUGAUAUGGUAAGCAAGCCUCUGGCUAUUAUUG